rnacentral:rRNA from 1 species
GGUUGCGGCCAUAUCUACCAGAAAGCACCGUUUCCCGUCCGAUCAACUGUAGUUAAGCUGGUAAGAGCCUGACCGAGUAGUGUAGUGGGUGACCAUACGCGAAACUCAGGUGCUGCAAUCUUAU